rnacentral:lncRNA from 1 species
AAAAAUACAUGUACCUCAAUAAUUUUAUCAAGGGCAUGUUUUGUGCUAGAUACUACUCUUUAUGUUAGGAAUAUAAGCAAUUGUAUAAGAUACUUACAGAUUGCAGUAAGUGGUAAAAAAUAUAACAUGAAGAGGGAAUAGUGAUGAGAAGGUAACUAUAUAGGGGAGUGGUCAGGGAGUGCUUCACUGAAGAUGUAAAAUAUGAACUGAAACCUAUAUCCUGAUUUAAAAUAGCUUUGCAGAUGUUUUAGGUAAAUAGCAGCAAGCGAACAAUACCAAAGUUUUUAUUUUUGUAAUUUGAAAUCAAUGUGCAAGCCAGAGCUUCUUUAGGAAAGACCAUUCCUGAGAGAACAACAGAGGGAAUCAGAGCUAUUUCCAUGAAUUAAUGUCUUAAUCCCCACAACAAUGAGGUCGUG